rnacentral:rRNA from 1 species
AUUGAACGCUGGCGGCAGGCUUAACACAUGCAAGUCGAGCGAGCGGCGGACGGGUGAGUAAUGUCUGGGAAACUGCCUGCUGGAGGGGGAUAACUACUGGAAACGGUAGCUAAUACCGCAUACCAUCGGAUGUGCCCAGGUGGGAUUAGCUAGUUGGUGAGGUAAAGGCUCACCAAGCCGACGAUCCCUAGCUGGUCUGAGAGGAUGACACGCCACACUGGGACUGAGACACGGCCCAGACUCCUACGGUAGGCAGCAGUGGGGAAUAUUGCGCAAUGGGGGCAACCCUGAUGCAGCCAUGCCGCGUGUAUGAAGAGGGCCCUAGGGUGGUAAAGUACUUUGAGUGGGGAGGCGUUACCUGCAGAAGAAGCACCGGCUAACUCCGUGCCAGCAGCCGCGGUAAUAC